AGAAGUCAGAGAAGAUGACAUCACAGAUGACAUCACAUACAGCGACGUGAAAAUAUUAAGUAACCAACAACAGCCAAUCAGACGGAGCAGAGAGAGCGAUCCGGCUGCAGUCUACUCAGCUGUGAGAACAGACCACGUCACUUAUGGACGAAUAUUCAUCACAGACACCAGAUCACAGACGAGAGAGAGCGAUCCGGCUGCAGUCUACUCAGCUGUGAGAACAGACCACGUCACUUAUGGACGAAUAUUCAUCAGAACAAACAGGACCAGAGAGUGUCCAGCAGAGCCGGAGGUCGUCUACUCUUCACUGAGGUCGACCGUCACACCUUCACACCAGUCCCACCACUGACGUCCUCCUGCUGGUCUGUUGCUGGUCCUCAC